rnacentral:rRNA from 1 species
ACUCCUACGGGAGGCAGCAGUGGGGAAUAUUGCACAAAUGGGCGCAAGCCUGAUGCAGCCAUGCCGCGUGUAUGAAGAAGGCCUUCGGGUUGUAAAGUACUUUCAGCAGUGAGGAAGGUGGAGUCGUUAAUAGCGCNNCUUUGACCGAUUUUUGNNAAUGCCUGGUUCAAGGCAGUAGGCCAAGUCAAGGCAAUGACCACCUCGGGCUAACGUCCCAGGUGCCAGGCCAGGCCGGCGGAUAAUCGGAGGGUGCGAGCGUUAAUCGGAAUUACUGGGCGUAAAGCGCAUGCAGGUGGUUUGUUAAGUCAGAUGUGAAAGCCCGGGGCUCAACCUCGGAAUUGCAUUUGGAAACUUGGCAGACUAGAGUAACUGU